GCAGGUUCACGUCCUGUAGCCGGCACUCCAUCUGUGCGUCGACCCGUACUUGUCAUACGGGGGUUGCAGGUUCGAGUCCUGUAGCCGGCA
rnacentral:tRNA from 1 species